GGGUUGUAAAAUCUCUGCAGGCAACUGUGGAAAGGUGACCUUGUCACACAUUGGCCUGAAGGGAUUAUACAAACU
ncrna:Petromyzon marinus (sea lamprey) microRNA pma-mir-216b precursor